UUAGAUUACUCGUUGGUUAUUACUGCAUUGUCGGAACUAGAAGCACAAGCAUUUCGCUACACUCGCAUUAACAUCUGCUAACCAUGUGUAUGUGACAAAUAAAUUUGAUUUGAUUUGACAACCAGGUGAAAGGAGUUCAAGUCCAAGGGAGGGGCGAUAACCUGCAGACACUCGGCCCUCCAUGGAAUGAGUUUGACACGUGAUUUAGAGGGUUACUAGAAAUAAUCUAAUUAGCAGCUGAAGCCAGUGGGUCAAACAGUCCUAAAGAUGAGCCCAAGCCUGAGAUGCCACUCCAUUGAAGUAGAAAGACCACCAGUAAAGAAUCCAGUAUUUUAGGAUGGUAAGUAAGAGUCUGAGAAAGACACCAACCACAACAUUUAUUAAGAAGCAUUAGGAAGUGCUCACAUUAUUACGUUGUUAUUAUGUUAGUGAUUAUCAACAUGUGGUAUUAUUAUUUUAAUUUGGAUGCAAUGAAAGACAAACAAUGAACAAGUCUGAUUGGUGCUGGUAUUCUUAAAGGAAAGGAGGAACACCUGUUGUUGCAUUUAUAACAUAAGACCAAGAGUUUUUCCAGACCAUGUGACCUGGCCACGAAAACAAUGAUUACAUUAAGCUUGUGACUCUACAAGCUUGUUGGAUGCAUUUGCUGUUUGUUUUGGUUGUGUCUCAGAUUAUUUUGUGCCCAAUAGAAAUUAAUGAUAAAUAAUGCAUUGUUACUUUUAUUCUGCCCUUGAGUUGCGUUCCCAUGCAAAACUAGACAGAUAGCUAACAACUAAGUCUUCAAUAAAACUCCCAAGGCGUGACUUUUCUUGAAUGAAUAUAUUGAAAACUUUUGUUAAAAAACACAUAUUUUCCCAGGCUGAAGCGUGACAAGAAAUAACUACACUGAAAGACCUGCAUCGUAGUGUUGUUUUUAGCUGCUUCUAUGCGUGCAGAACGAAUUCUCUACUUCCUGUUUGCGUACAGUCUAAGUACCAGAAAGCUCCACCAUGGAACACAAUGAAAAUCCAUUUUAACCAUUGUAAUAAAAUAAUCUGUUACCUCCUAACAGGAUGGCAGCACAACUUUUAUUCUAAAUAAGAAUAUAAUGUUUCUAGACACGUUUACCUGACUAUGGAUGCUACCAUGAUUACUGAUAAUCCUGAAUGAAUCGUGAAUAAUGAUGAGUGAUUAAGUUAGACAGUCUGCGCUUUAACCUCAUAUUCAUUGUAUGAUUUAAAAUCCAAAGUGCUGGAGUACAGAGUCAAAACAACCAAAAAAGUGUCACUGUCUCAAUGCUUUUGGAGCUCACUGUAUAAUGUGAUGAGCUGUGUGCUUUAUGAAUUUAUAGUACUUCAGAAAUGAGGGCAAUAUUUGUAUCUCAGAACAAUUUGAUGGAAAAAAACAAGAGAUUAUCUUCUACUUUGAGGUAAAUAGCUUUGUGGAUUCUUACCCUUUCUCAGUAUUCAUGUCUCAUCUUUUAAAAUCUCAAUCAAUUUGUGAUGGUUGUUUUUGUUUGAAGCCGUAGUAUCAAUCACUUUGUGGUUAAAUGAUUCCUUUUCAGGUAUUUUCUCCAGAGCGCUUUAUGCCAACCCAAUGCACUUUCUGUUUUAAGUCACAGCUGAAUAUAUGUCUUAUAUCAUUUCACUUGACCUAUGUCAAGGAAUUUGUACAGGUUAUUGUUUUAUUACCCAGGUAGAUGAGGUAGAGCUCAUCUACCUUGUAAAGAGAGAGCUAUUCAGCACUGAGAUGUUUUAUUGCUGAGAGAGCUCUGCAGUACUGAGAUGUGUUAUUGCUGAGAGAGCUCUGCAGUACUGAGAUGUUUAAUUACUAAUAACAAUGGUGCAUGUGUAUUUAAAAAAAAAAAAGUUUACGCAUUAAUAUUUGAUUUUGACAAAGUGUUUGUCUUCAUCAAAUUACCCUCAGGUGUGUGUGUAAUAUAUAUAUAUAUAUAUAUAAUAAAAAAAAUCUGUUUUCACAAUAGAAUUUUGUCACCUGAAUUUUAGGACAUUUUUUUCUCUCAUAUAUCUACAUCAGUCUGUGAUGGACCAUAGUAAGGGGUAACACUUUUUGCCACCAGAUUGGUAAGAACAUUUGUUGGGGAAGACCACUAACCUGGUAUAUCCCAGGUUUUAGUUCUGUUACUGGUAUGUCUCAUGUAAUUAUGUUAAAGAAGAUGUUAUGAAUUGAGACAAGCUCACAUUAAUUUAUUCUGGGACUGGACCAAGACUGUUCUAAAAUGGAGUCCUGGCACAUGCAAAAACUUGUAGUGAUGUGUUGAUAACUGAAUGCUUGUUGUCCAUGUAAACAUCUGAACACCAAUUCUGUUUCAGCACUUUGUCUUAAGAAUACAUUUCUUCCAAACUUGAUUGGUGAAAGCAAUACAGAGGAAGGUCCAUAUAGGGCUGGGUUCAGACAUCACCAACAUACAUAUCCCUAUCUGAACCCUUCAGAUUUAUGAAUACUGAGAUGGGGAAAGGGACUAGUUGACACUAGACUUAGAUCAGUACUGGAUUACUUAUUUAUUUUUCAAAUUGAACCUUUUUAACUAGGCAAGUCAGUUAAGAACAAAUUCUUAUUUACAAUGAUGGCCUAGGAACAGUGAGUUAACUGCCUUGUUCCGGUGCAGAACAACAGAUUUUUCCCUUGUAUGCUCGGAUUUGAUCUAGCAACCUUUCAGUUACUGGCACAACGCUCUAACCACUAGGCUACUUCUCAGCCAGGUUCGCUUAACGGAUCACACCACAGGACUGACACAUUCUAAAUCAAGUGUCAACUCCUUCCUUGUGAGACAUGCUGCUGUGAAAAACAAAUGCACUUGAAAGAGCAGUGUGUUUAAAUAUAUUUUAUCUGCAAUGGUUGAAUUCCAGCCUGCAUAUGCAAACAAUUCUUUUGUUAAUUUGAGGUGUUUGAUAUUUAUAUUUUUUCAAUAAAAGACUUGAGUUCUA